rnacentral:rRNA from 1 species
AGUGAACGCUGGCGGUAGGCCUAACACAUGCAAGUCGAACGGCAGCACAGUAAGAGCUUGCUCUUACGGGUGGCGAGUGGCGGACGGGUGAGGAAUACAUCGGAAUCUACUUUUUCGUGGGGGAUAACGUAGGGAAACUUACGCUAAUACCGCAUACGACCUACGGGUGAAAGCAGGGGAUCUUCGGACCUUGCGCGAUUGAAUGAGCCGAUGUCGGAUUAGCUAGUUGGCGGGGUAAAGGCCCACCAAGGCGACGAUCCGUAGCUGGUCUGAGAGGAUGAUCAGCCACACUGGAACGGAGACACGGUCCAGACUCCUACGGGAGGCAGCAGUGGGGAAUAUUGGACAAUGGGCGAAAGCAUGAUCCAGCCAUACCGCGUGGGUGAAGAAGGCCUUCGGGUUGUAAAGCCCUUUUGUUGGGAAAGAAAAGCAGCAGGUUAAUACCCCGCUGUUCUGACGGUACCCAAAGGAUAAGCACCGGCUAACUUCGUG